rnacentral:rRNA from 1 species
AUAUCAAUAAGCGGAGGAAAAGAAACUAACAAGGAUUCCCCUAGUAACGGCGAGUGAAGCGGGAAAAGCUCAAAUUUGAAAGCUGGCAUCUUUGGUGUCCGCAUUGUAAUCUCGAGAAGUGUUUUCCGCGCUGGUCCAUAUACAAGUCCCUUGGAAUAGGGUGUCAUAGAGGGUGAGAAUCCCGUACUUGAUAUGGCUGCCAGUGCUUUGUGAUACACUCUCCAUGAGUCGAGUUGUUUGGGAAUGCAGCUCAAAAUGGGUGGUAAAUUCCAUCUAAAGCUAAAUAUUGGGGAGAGACCGAUAGCGCACAAGUA